rnacentral:tRNA from 1 species
CAGAAAAUAGUUUAUAUAAAAUAAUAGUUUUGGAGAUUAUAGAAGUUAAGGCUUUUCUGA